rnacentral:misc_RNA from 1 species
CCACAACAGAUUUCCACAACCUAACUGAAUCGGGAAUAUGCUCUAAACCCUUCCUCAAAACCCUACUUUUAUUCACAUCAUCGUGUUCCAGUUUUGCAGCCUGCAACCACAACUUAACAGAAUUUGGUAUACUCUUCACUCCCUUAGCUAUAACUGCUUUGGCUUCAUCAGGGCUAGCCAGCCUACAUGCCUCUAACCAAACAUCCUCAUUUUUAGGACAUUCCUCGCAGCCCCUUUGUAUCAACUGCCUUGCUGCCUGAAUCUUCCCGGCCACCUCUUCCAACCUUGCAGCAGCAAUCCAACCAGGCGGGUGUUUUGGGUUAGUCUGAGUAACACUCUUCAACAACAACCUCGCCUUCUUAAUAUCCGAAAUCUCUGCAUCACUUGUAAUCUUCAUACUCUUCAAAUCCGUCAAAUAGCCUUUAGGAUCCACCACAGUGAGCCCUGAAACAGAAUCGGAUAACCUAUCUAACUUCAAUGACAACACAGUGCCUCUCCCUUCACCAACAGCAGUCAGGUCAGUGACUGGAGUCUGCGACCAUGGCGUUUCAGUCCCACCAGCAGCUCUGCUCUUGGGGUCCAAAGCAGUAACAUGCUCCUGCUCUUGCCUCGCCUUCUCGAGAAGGGUAUCGGGUACUGGUACGAAGCUCUCAAAUCUCCUCUUCUUGUUUCUCAACGAGUAAUCACCAAUGUCUGGUAUGCUCUCCCAUUCUUGGGCGGAUAACGUGUACAAUUUCCUCUUCAAAUCCGCGAAUUGCUCAGUGAUCUUCGGAUUUGAAGCUCGGUACUUCUCGAUCUCCUGCUUCAAUCUCGCCUCCCUCCUGUCCUUUCGCCGCGAAUCCAUCCUCUUAUCAAUUGCCUCCCAUACCGCAUCUGCUUCCUUGUCGUCCUCGUCAUAUUCCGCCGAAGCAAACAGCCCGACGUCGUUCCCUUCAAACUCAUCGAAUUUCUGGUUCUCGUCGUAACCCUUAUCAUCCCCCUCAUCAUCCUCUUCUUCUUCGCCGCCUUUUCCUCGGCCACGGCCGAUCCCAGACGCGGCACUGGAUGCUCCUCCAAUGGUGGUAGCAGAUCGGUCAGGAAGAUCAGGAGCAGCACGAGCUGGACCAAUAUCAGACCGGGUGGUGAAGCCCGUGGCACCACGCCCAAGACCAGCGACAUAGUUGGGGGGAGGCUUAGAAUUUAGGAAAUCAAGGCGGGGCUUAGGCGGAGCAGGAGGUUGGGUGCCACCAAGGAAAGGUAUAUACAGGGUCAGGGUGGAAUAGGGGGUGAUACCCAGCUGGGAGAGGAGAAUUUCAUCGGAAUUUUGAAGGCCGUUUGGAUUAUAAACGGGACUAAAUGAAGGCAAUAAAAAUAGUUGGCGAGAGAUGGGAAUUUGGGAUUGGGAGUGGAUGUGGUUUUUGAGGGCGGAAAGGGUGGUGAUGUUGGGGUUGACGUGGAGAAAGAGGGUCUUGUUGUUUGGAGAUUUAACGAAAACCAUUUUUUCCGAUGAAAAGAGAUAUGGGGAUUUGGAUUCAAUACCCAGAAAAGGGUGUUAGGGUUCAGGUGACUGCCCUAAAAGAAAGGAAGAGUGAAAGAGAGCGGCGCUAUGGCGGUGGUU